rnacentral:lncRNA from 1 species
UGGCAAUUUUAGAGUCUGCAAAAGAUACAGGAAAGUACAAAGAAUUCAGGGCAUUUUGCAGCAGUAUGGCUGGAGAGAAAGACACACAGCCGGUGGGGAGCUGAGUGAAACAGCUGGGACAUGGUCCCAGUGGACUGCUGCGUGCUAAACCUGUCUAAUGUAUGAACUGAAACUAAAUCAGAAUGCAUGUGUGUAUUUAAACACGCACAACUGGCACCCAAGACUAAAAUUUUAGUGAUUAUAUAUUUUAAAUUAGAUCUUGAUCUUAAAAACUGCCUCUGUUUCCCUGCAGGAAGCAAGCAAGCCAAAAUGUUUUUAAAUCUAUUUCUGAGUUUGUACUGAGGCUUUUCUACUUCAACAAAUUCCAGCAAGACAGUUUGCCAGGAGUUUUUUCUUGGUCCAUCUACUUAACCACUAGUUAGGCAUUACAAACAAAAAGUAAAAAUCCAACAAGUUGAUUACCUUGCAGAACCCCUCAGUAGUAGCUCUUCACCUCUGCUCCCCUAAACCAAGAUGUGAUCAGACAGAAAGCCAGAGCUGCUUGAAGGUGAUGCUUAUAGAAACUGCGUGUUUGUGUAGAAAUUAGGUAACGCUGGCUCAGGGGAGGCGGGAGAACUGUGGGAGGGGAGAGAGGCGGGGACAGAGGGAAGAAGGAAGGGGGGGAGAAGCUUCCAGGCAUUUUUGUUUUGGGCAGGGUGAGCGCUUUAUCCUUUCUUGGACUUCCACCCGCAGGUCAGCCUGGAUACUGCAGCUGAAGUGUGACCUGCACUUUGUGGCAAAACUAGCCAGAGCAGCAGGUAAGUCCUAUAUUUCCAGCAGAAGGCAAGGAGAACUCUGGAUUUACUUUGGCAAGGGCCCCCAGAGUCAGGGACAGCUGAUGAGAGGGCCCAUAUCUGAGACACAGCCAUUUCAGCAAAGGAGAAAAGUGCAGCCCCUGGCUCUGUAUCCCUCACAUCUGGAUUCAUCUUCUCAUGGGCAUAACAUGACGUACUCAUGAUUACUUUAGCCAGGUGGGUUUCAGAAGACAGAAAAAAGCUGGAGGAGCUCACCAUUUACAGAUGUGGAAACCAUUUCUAUAACUGACAGUGUGCUUUGGCCAUUUCUUAUUAAUGUCUUUUGAUAAUCUCCUUCACAAAUCAAGCAAAC